AUUACCCUGGACGGUGGAUCACUUUGCUCAUGGGUCGA
rnacentral:rRNA from 1 species